GGCAGCUCUGCCGGGGAACCAGCGAGCUGCACGGGGGGGAAGGAAGGCGAAAUUGUCGCUGAGAGGAGCAGAAAUCCUCCGCGUUGUUUUUCAGUGAUGUAGAGAAAAAGGAGUUGCUCUUUAAUAAAAACAGCAGGACCCAUGACCCUGACACGAGGUUCCUUCAGCUACUCCAACGGCGAGGAGUACCACGGCGAAUGGAAAGAAGGUCUGCGUCAUGGCCUGGGUCAGCUGACCUUCAGCGACGGGACGUGCUACACGGGACAGUUUGAGAACGGCCUCUUCAACGGCUGUGGGGUCCUGGUCUUCCCCGACGGCUCCAGGUAUGAAGGUGAAUUUGUUCAGGGCAAAUUUCAAGGCGCCGGCGUCUUCACUCGCUUCGACGGGAUGAGGUUUGAAGGCGAGUUUAAAAGCGGAUGUGUGGACGGUUACGGAGCGCUGACGUUUUUGGACGGAGGUCCUGGCGGCGCUGGUGGCGGCGGCAGUGGCAGCCAUGAGGGCCUGUUUGAGGCCAACCAGCUGAUGAGGCUGGAGAACAACCAGGGAGCCGUGCAGAGAGCGCAGGCAGCAGCCGCCAAGGCCCGAGCUCUGGCCAUGUGACGAGGACUACAUCACCCACAGUGCCCCACUAUGAUCCUCCUCUUGGGUUGAACAGCCGAUUGUUAUUUAAGAAGAGAUUAGUUUCAUUCUCGUCCUCAGCUUCCUUCGUAUUGUCAGUAUACGUGCCGUUACAGCUGAUGUCUGAUCGCAGAUCAGCGGGAACAUCCCCCUCAGUGCCGAACCACACAGUGCCAACAGGCUGCAGCUGAUCCAGAAUCAGUGGCUCACUGACGAAACUCAACGAAGUCAAAGAUGAAUUGCUUUCCAGCCCCGUAAAUCCCUCACAGUAGCUCUACUGCUCGUUUUAACUGACCUUAAGACCGGUGUUUGGACAGAAAGGGUGAAGCAAGUAAAAUAGUAGGUGGGACGGAUGCUAAAGCUCCAGGUGGUCCUCAACUAAAGCGAUUAACUUCUCCAUAUAUUUACAAAUCUACGUCCUAACAAUGGCAGGUACUUUUCAUCGAUGCAUUGCUUUUGUUCUCGGUUACAGAAACAUUUUGCUUACCGGCUAAACAGAAGCAGGCCCUCAUUACCUUCAGUAAAAAACGCUGUGAAGAACUUUCUUCCAGAGGAAUUUAAUGGCACUUUCAGCUCUUUAAAGUCUUUGGGAUUUGACGCGGCGUGUGAACGGCCCCUUUACGCAACUCGAUUGUUCUCUUCUUCUACUUUUCACAUCCCGGACGUCACGUUCAAUGUUUGUGUGUGUGAACCUAAAACCACCAUCUCCACUUUAAGAGGAGGAAAAAAAUAAAAAAAGAGAGAUGCAAGCGAACCAACAAAGCACGAACUAACAUAUUUAAUACGUGCGUCGUGGCUGCUGGGGAUCAGCGUGUCUGUGUAAUAAGACUGUGUAGACGUGCCGUGUGUGUGUGUGUCGUACUG